rnacentral:rRNA from 2 species
UGGAUCCAGACUUUGAUUCUGGCUCAGGAUGAACGCUAGCUACAGGCUUAACACAUGCAAGUCGAGGGGAAACGACAUCGAAAGCUCGCUUUUGAUGGGCGUCGACCGGCGCACGGGUGAGUAACGCGUAUCCAACCUGCCCACCACUUGGGGAUAACCUUGCGAAAGUAAGACUAAUACCCAAUGAUAUCUCUAGAAGACAUCUGAAGGAGAUUAAAGAUUUAUCGGUGAUGGAUGGGGAUGCGUCUGAUUAGCUUGUUGGCGGGGUAACGGCCCACCAAGGCGACGAUCAGUAGGGGUUCUGAGAGGAAGGUCCCCCACAUUGGAACUGAGACACGGUUCAAACUCCUACGGGAGGCAGCAGUGAGGAAUAUUGGUCAAUGGGCGAGAGCCUGAACCAGCCAAGUAGCGUGCAGGAUGACGGCCCUAUGGGUUGUAAACUGCUUUUAUAAGGGAAUAAAGUGAGCCUCGUGAGGCUUUUUGCAUGUACCUUAUGAAUAAGGACCGGCUAAUUCCGUGCCAGCAGCCGCGGUAAUACGGAAGGUCCGGGCGUUAUCCGGAUUUAUUGGGUUUAAAGGGAGCGUAGGCCGGAGAUUAAGCGUGUUGUGAAAUGUAGAUGCUCAACAUCUGCACUGCAGCGCGAACUGGUUUCCUUGAGUACGCACAAAGUGGGCGGAAUUCGUGGUGUAGCGGUGAAAUGCUUAGAUAUCACGAAGAACUCCGAUUGCGAAGGCAGCUCACUGGAGCGCAACUGACGCUGAGGCUCGAAAGUGCGGGUAUCGAACAGGAUUAGAUACCCUGGUAGUCCGCACGGUAAACGAUGGAUGCCCGCUGUUGGUCUGAAUAGGUCAGCGGCCAAGCGAAAGCAUUAAGCGUCCCACCUGGGGAGUACGCCGGCAACGGUGCAACUCAAAGGAAUUGACGGA